AGAACGAACGCUGGCGGCAGGCUUAACACAUGCAAGUCGAACGCCCUCGCAAGGGGGAGUGGCAGACGGGUGAGUAACACGUGGGAACAUACCCUUCGGUUCGGAACAACGCCGGGAAACUGGCGCUAAUACCGGAUACGGCUUUUGAGCGAAAGAUUUAUCGCCGAAGGAUUGGCCCGCGUUCGAUUAGCUUGUUGGUGAGGUAACGGCUCACCAAGGCGACGAUCGAUAGCUGGUCUGAGAGGAUGGCCAGCCACAUUGGGACUGAGACACGGCCCAAACUCCUACGGGAGGCAGCAGUGGGGAAUAUUGGACAAUGGGCGCAAGCCUGAUCCAGCCAUGCCGCGUGAGUGAUGACGGCCUUAGGGUUGUAAAGCUCUUUCGCACGCGACGAUAAUGACGGUGCGUGAGAGAAGCCCGGCUAACUUCGCGCCAGCAGCCGC
rnacentral:rRNA from 1 species